GGAUAAUUCUUGCACGAAAAACGAUGCAAAAACGCGAGAAAAAGGGAAGAAAUGAGCAAACUACUCGGCUGCCCUCGACACCCUUUUAUAGGGGCUGGAAGGUCGAAUUACGCUGGGCGUAACUUGAGAUUACGCUGGGCGUAACGACGAUAAGGUCGCUGACUCCCCCCAUGGAUAAUAUCGGCCAAUAUAUAUUUAAAUUAAAUAUCGAAAAUAUUUAAUAAACUUCAAAAAUUCAUAUCUUCCUCAUACGAACUCCGUUUUCGAUGUUAUUUAUAUCCCCGCGUAGGUGAGACUACGCUCUACAACUUUCGUUUAGACUCCGUCGGCUAAUUUUGAAUUUAUUUUUAGUAGGCCGGGACAGAAAAACUCCGUUAUAAAAUCAUAACUUCUUCACCCGACGUCCGUUUUCGCCUAUCUUUUUAUCUUUUUACUACAAUUAAUGAGAUCUUCAAUUCUCAUUUAGAUUGUUUCGGCUAAAAACUGCUCGUUCUCAAAUCGAGCAUUCGGGCUCCAUACCGCUAACUCGAAACUUCGAAAAAUCAUAACUUCCUCAUACGAAGUCAGAUUUGGGCGUUAUUUUUAUGCACGCUCAUGGUUUAACGUAUUAUACGACUUUCAUUUAGAUUGCUAAGGCUAAAUAUUACUCUAACGUAAAUUCACUUUUUACGUCACGCUGUGUCGUACCGGUUCUGUCGCGAAACUUCGACAGGUCAUAACUUCUUCGUUAUAACUCGGAUUUCGGCGUUCUUUAUAUGCACGAAACCUUGUAACAUAUACUAUAACUUAGUUAAGAUUAUUCAUUCUAAAUAAUCUUUAAUCAAAAAUUCAUUUUUGACGCCUAUCGUCUCUAAAUUGACUAGCCCUGAUCUACGGGCGUUACAAUUAUCUCCCCCUUAGGAUGAUUACGUCCCGGAAUCAUCAAUGAAAUAUGACUUGAAUAAUGAUUCCACACGUUAUUAUUCAUCCUAGGUAAUAACCGCAACUUAUAUGUUUCUUCGAAAUAGUAUUUAACUCUAUGGCUUUCUUUACCGCAGAAGAUGCCAAAUCUUGCAUCUGCUUAUCGUACUAGGUUGUACUUUCAAUCGUAACCUUCAAGUUACCGAAUAAGUCCUUACUGUGGACUCAUUCUUCUUCUUAGGAUAAAUACUUUCCUUUAUCUAUUGUAACAGACCGAUGGGUCGUGCUCUACUGACCUCUCGUCGUACGAUGCAACGCUUAGACUUGGUCUUUUUAAAGUUAAAUUCCAGAAUGGAAUAUACCUUCCUUCAUAUUCUAAUGUGAUAUAAUCACAUUUCAGUAUGUAGCAUUUCUAGCUACAAACUUUAUGAACAACGAGCGCGAUACCAAUGAUCGUAUUGACUUCAAUCUUUUGACUUACGUUAGAUGUUACUUCGAACUUGGUUCUCUGAACCACGUAACAUACUCACCGUAGUCGGACUCCAAUUGGAUAUGACCACUAGGGUCGGAACAAGAACCAUCUUACUAGUCAUUACCGAAACCAUGGUAAUGACACACUUGAACAAAACAGAAUCAAUUACUAGCUUCUUGGUAACCUUGUGACUUUCCCUGAUCCAAGUGCGAGUCCUGUGCUUCCGGUAGUAUAUGCAUCUACUAUCUUUCACACCUACUCAUACUCGUCCCAAGUAUUGUCCCGCAGUCGACCAAGUCACCAUACAAGAAAAUCACAAAACAGUUUAACACAUACGAAUGUGUCCAAGUAAUCAUAAACAAUUUCCUUAGACUCUACUAGGACUUCUUCAUUGCUCAAUCUUCAAUCAUCAACUCUACUUCAACUCGAUUGGUGAUGGAAAUACCAGACGAUGAGACAACUUCAAGAAUUUCACCAAUCGUUCCAUCAUCCUGCUAAUCGAAGGUGUACUUUAGACGUACCGUACUCCUCUAAACGUACUUUUAUUUCAUAAGACAUACUCUAAAGGCAAGAUACCACUCUUACGAUAUCUUCCGAUAGGUGUCAUUCACUAUCAUAAGCCUUCUUUAUUUCCUCCAUUUACUCAAUUCUCUACAAGUCUUCACCAUGACCUUUUGUACAUCCAAGCAGACAUUCGGUGUACCAACGAGAAUUUAAGAUAAGAAAGCUUCAUUUACGAUAAACGUAUAAAUCUCCUUAUCCCUCCGAAACGUUUACAUGCUAGUUCUAAUAUCGUAGUCGUACGCUUAGAAUCCUAAACACAUAAGGUUUCCAGAUCCGGUCGGCAACAGACCAUAGACCCGAACAAAUAAUAGCAUCAAUUUAGCUAUCACACAAAACAAUUAGCACAUAAAAGCAUUUUAGGCAUCAUUCCUAAAAUAAACUAGUGCUUGUGUCAAUUUAGGUGUACUACCUAACAUAUUUUAGACACACUCCUCACAAUCAUUACUUAGCAUUCUAAGUUUAAGUCUAGAAAUUUCCUACAAAUUCCUAGUUCGCUUAAACUAAUGCUCUGAUACCAACUGUGACAUCCCCAUUUUCACGGCCAGAAAAGACCGAUUUGUUUAUGCUUUGUUUUAUAAAAUCAGAGUAAUCUUUUAAAGAAAACAGUUGCGGAAUUUGUUCCCAAAACAAAAUAUGAUAAAAAUUAUCAAAGCAUUUCCUUAAAGAAAUGUAUUUUCAUUAUAUAACAAAAUCUCGGGAUGUCAUGUUCAAUACAGACCAAAAGCAUAAACAGAACAAAAUAGACCUUACAACAGUUAUUCAUAACUACUGGCCUAUAAUCCAAAAUCUCUCGUCAAGUCCACCAACUUAUACUCUUGUGCCAUUACCUGUAAUCCAAAGAAAACUGAGUGGGUCAGACUCGGGAGCCUGGUGAGCAUAUAGGGUUUUCAACCCACAAUAAUAUAAUUAUUAUAUUUAAUUAUCAAACAAUUAAUCCAAUUACCCACCCCCAUUAUCUCCAUUUAUUUAGUAAAGAUUUACCCUAAGAACCGAAUACCCUUCUCCCAUUCAUUCCUAAGAAAUGCCCUAAGGAAUUUGCACAAAGUCUAGUGCUGCCUUGGUUCUUAGAUUACCUUUGGUGAACACGCAGUUUAAAAUAAUUAAUAAACACCUAUUUCAAGAACACCCAUUGAACACUCCGUUCAAUAAUACCUAAUGAACACCUAGUUCAAAUAUCCCUGGUGAACUCAAUCACCUAAGGAACACAGCGUACGAAAGCUCUUAGUUCAAACCACGUGAUUAAAAUGUAUAUCUCGAUCCUACAAAACCACUAAUAUUAUUAACACAUAUAAAUCAUAUUUCUAAAACAAUCUAUCCCAUCCCGUCGAUCCCCACAUACUGACCCUAUACAAUGAUCUUACGAGAUCUAGCCUAAGGAAAUCGAUAUGAACAACAACUGACGAAGCUGCUUCGGAAAUUCCCUAGCAGCAAACGAGGAUCAAUAAAGACAUCAAAUGAGGGGAAUAGAAUGAGUUUCACCACGAACCUUCGUUCGUAAAAGAAAGAACCACAAGACAUUUUAAGUCAGGGGUAGUUAUCUAGAUAACAAUGCCUAGGCGUGGUCUGACUAUCAUGAGGUAUUAUACCCCCAGACUUUACCUAUCCCAGCAUCGAACUUUGCCUAGCAGUGGCCUGAAUACAUGAGGUAUUUAACCCCCAGACGCACCCUAUCCAGCAAUAUAACACCAAACAUACCUAGCAGUGGUCUAUUACCGACACACUUUACUAGGCAGUCUACGAAGUUCCCUUAAUUACUUCGUGAAAGAAAACGCUGACAUAUGAAGCUCGGUCGAUCACUUCAUAAAAGAAACGCUGACUCCAAAGCUCUCUCAAAAUAAAAGUAUGGGGAAAUACUACUAGAGUACUCCCGUACGCUCCCGUAACCGACACACAAAAUUGCCAAAAAGACUUUGUACAUGAUAGUACUUCUGGCACAUUAUAGUACUUUGGUAUGCGAAAGAAUCGUACCCAAGAAAGUAAUAGUACCCUGGCACAAGCAGCACCCAAGACACAGAGCUUUGAAAAAGACUUCGUACAUAAAAUGUACUUCUAUACGUAGGAAGUACUCCACCGAUCAUCAAUCUCGCAACGCACACACUCUUAAUAAGAGACUACCCAAUGUCCAAACUUAAUUGAACUAAACAUCCCAUUUAAGUCUUAACCCAUCACUAGGCAAACCUACAAUACAUAUAAUCAAUUCCCGAUACUAUCUCCGUUUAUGAAAAAGACUAACUAGUGUAUACUUAACACAAGGUUUUAAGUAAUAAUAUCAUAUAUAUACAUCUUAACACAUAUAUGAUUCGUACGUUGUAUAUCAUCAAAUAUAUCUAACACGUAUUUCAGAAAAUAACAAAUACUUCACAUACAUAUGUAUAUUUCAUACUUUAAUCAAUUCUUGUGUUAAAAUCACGUUCCUAAAAGGGACUAUACACAUGAUACCUUAUCGAAUGAACACGUAAUUCAAAAAUACAUAAUCCGUACUCCCGGAUCUAAAAUUAACCUCUUGAUCUGAUCCCUACUCUCGGAUCUAAAACUAAUCUCUUGAUCUGAUCCAUACUCUCGGAUCUAAAACUAACCUUUUGAUCUGAUCCAUACAUCCAGAUCUAAAACAAGUUUAUCUCUUUAUUCUUUUAUCUCAUGGUCCAACCCAUAUUUUAUCACCUACCAACAACCUCAUCUACUCAUGUUCUACCCAACAUAUCUUUAGAUACAAAAUACGUAUAUAGUUUAACUCAUUAAAACUUAUAUAAUUCACCCGUUCCACAAUCAUCUCAAAUAAACAACAAAAUAUUAUACACGUAGCACGUAUUUCAUAGCAAAUACUUAAUAUUUAUGUGUUAGAAGAAAGUGACCACACACUCACUUGAUUAGAAGAUGAUCGGACAGCACUACGGCUUGUAGAAGUAGUAUUCUUCGGCAGAUCUGGAAGAUCUUAAAAAAAAACCGGACUCCUCGGGGCAGAGCUUCGGCUCGCGAAUUGCACUUCUCGGGAUCUUCAGGGCCUCGGGACAUGCUUCGGGGCUCGGGAAUGAUACCGGGGCUUCGGGAUAAUUCUUGCACGAAAAACGAUGCAAAAACGCGAGAAAAAGGGAAGAAAUGAGCAAACUACUCGGCUGCCCUCGACACCCUUUUAUAGGGGCUGGAAGGUCGAAUUACGCUGGGCGUAACUUGAGAUUACGCUGGGCGUAACGACGAUAAGGUCGCUGACUCCCCCCAUGGAUAAUAUCGGCCAAUAUAUAUUUAAAUUAAAUAUCGAAAAUAUUUAAUAAACUUCAAAAAUUCAUAUCUUCCUCAUACGAACUCCGUUUUC
rnacentral:lncRNA from 1 species